GCUGUGGCUCAGUGGUAAAGCACAUGCUUUGCAUGUGAGGGGUCCCAGUUUUGAUCCCUGGCAUCUCCA